rnacentral:lncRNA from 1 species
AGAGAGAGAGAGGGAAGAGAGAGAGAGAGAGAGAGAGAGAGAGAGAUAGAGAAAGAGAGAGAGAGAGAGAGAAAGAGAGAGAGAAGAAUCUAUCUUGGAGAUUUUGAAUGUUUCUAGAUUAUGGAGUAGGAAGCAGCAUUGUUUCAGUUCAAUUUCCACAUAUGUGAACACAGAAUAAAAGUUUAAUACUGAGAGAUUCUGAGGGAAAAUCUUUUAUGUUUCCUUGUAUUUCUUUUCAUUUCUUCCUGGCAAGUAAAAGCACUUCCUUAUAAAGCCAGAGAUUGUCAGUCUAUAGUGGUUCUUCACUGGGUACUUAAUAGGCAAUGUAAGCUUCAGAGCCUUAUAUGCUAAGGUGGGUCUGGUAAUGGAGGAGAGACCUCUAAAACUUCUCUAUGCCUUGGUAUUGAUUUAUUUGCUGGCUGAUUGAUGGCUUUAUAAUUUCAUUCAAUGAAUGAUUUAUUGAAUAUCUUAACAGUUUUAGAGUGUGUGUAGGGAAUUUAACCUGAAGGAAAAGGAUAGGCUAUCUGUGUCCUUGGAGCUUAUACUGGAGUAGGGUAAUGGCCAUUUGGAACUUCUCUCAUAAAUCACAAUUGUGAUGAGAGCAACGAAGAAGAUGUACUGUGCUAUGUAGUGUGAAAUAAGGAAUUUCACAUGGUCAGAGAUGGUAAGCAUGGAAUCCCUCAGUCCUGCUUCCUUCAUCAAAUGGAAGAGGAUGGUAAGGGUUUUAACUAGUAGAAAUGGUAGCAGAGGGACAUACCCGUGCAUGCAUCUUAUAGUGGUUUGCACUAUAUGCAGUAAGUACAAUGGACUGCGAUUCACAGCAUGCCUGGAGUGAGAAGAAUCCUCACCCUGAACCUGGAGACUUAAAAUACCAACCUCUCAUCAAUGGUUUUUAAGCAAUUGUUGACUGGAGUAGCAGAGUGAAUACAUUAAAGGUUUAAAGUGGUAAGAGGUUCGGGAUGGAAUAUAUGCAACUUAAUAGAAUUCUUGUUCAAAAGAAACCUUUCAGGCUGUGAAGUCAGAGGAAGUUUGUGUGUGUGUGUGUGUGUGUGUGUGUGUGUGUGUGUGUGCUGCUUGCCUCUCUCUGUCUCUGUCUCUGUCUCUGUCUCUGUCUCUGUCUCUCUCUCUCUCUCUCUCUCUCUCUCUCUCUCUCUCAGUAUGUGUGUGUGUGUUUCUGUGUACGUUUGUGUGUGUAUGUGUGUUUAUGAACCUGUGCAUGUGUUUCAUCUGCUUAGGGCUUUCUAGGACUCUCCAAAUGACAGAUUUCUUAACAAGGUUUCCAUAAGUUGGUGAUAAUGUUUUUAUCUCCAAACCAUCGGCACAUAUAUGAAAGUGACUUGAGAAAUCCUGAUUCACAUGACUGUGGCUCUUUCUUGGCCAUCUUCACGUCUGUGCUGCCUGACCUUACUUGUUUGCUUGCCUACACAUUUCACUGACUUUUCUAAGUUCAAAUUUUUACAAUGUGAGACAUAAAAUAAAUGCAUAUAUCCUUUCCAGCAAACUCUCAUUGCACAUAAAGAUGGAGACAUAUGUCUAAAUACAUACAUGAAGAAAGCAUGGAGAUAGGUAAGUAUAAACUUAAUUUUGCAGUCUGCUUUGCAAAUUGUCUUACUUUGUUUAAAAUCCAUAGUUCAACAUCUCUUUUGAGAUUCAUGAAAUCCCUUAUCUGUAAUCACUUAUAAUACC